CUUCCUUGUGGGCAUAUAUAUGGAAGGUCAUGUAUUAAGAAGUGGCUUCAACAACGUCGUCGAAGUUAUAAGAGGUGCCCUCAGUGCAACAUCUCUUGCAAAUCGAAGGAUGUUACAAUGCUUUACGCAACUCGCCUUUGCAUGGCUGGGUUAGACAAGUUUCUAUUGACCGAAGUCGGGUUUAGUACAUUGAAGCAGAAGCCUGAUGAAUCGAUUCAUCCAAGGUGCAAAUGGGGAGUGUAUCAUGACAGAAUAAUGAGCACUAAACUAAUGUCCAAUAUUCUUCUGAUCACAACAAAGAUAUACGAAUACUUUGCAUCUCUUUGGUAGUAGUUUGAUGCAGGGGCAGAACUAAUGUAGAAUGAGCCUUAGUGUAUUUUUUUCGGUUUUAUACAUAGCAUACCCCAAAACAUAUACGAUGAUACCUCUAAGAGAAAA